AGAGUUUGAUCCUGGCUCAGAUUGAACGCUGGCGGCAUGCCUUACACAUGCAAGUCGAACGGCAGCACGGGGGCAACCCUGGUGGCGAGUGGCGAACGGGUGAGUAAUACAUCGGAACGUGUCCUGUAGUGGGGGAUAGCCCGGCGAAAGCCGGAUUAAUACCGCAUACGCUCUACGGAGGAAAGGGGGGGAUCUUAGGACCUCUCGCUACAGGGGCGGCCGAUGGCAGAUUAGCUAGUUGGUGGGGUAAAGGCCUACCAAGGCGACGAUCUGUAGCUGGUCUGAGAGGACGACCAGCCACACUGGGACUGAGACACGGCCCAGACUCCUACGGGAGGCAGCAGUGGGGAAUUUUGGACAAUGGGGGCAACCCUGAUCCAGCAAUGCCGCGUGUGUGAAGAAGGCCUUCGGGUUGUAAAGCACUUUUGUCCGGAAAGAAAA
rnacentral:rRNA from 1 species